UGCGUAGGCGGAUUAAUAAGUCAGUGGUGAAAACCUGCAGCUUAACUGUAGACUUGCCAUUGAUACUGUUAUUCUUGAGUACGGUCAAGGUAGGCGGAAUGUGUAAUGUAGCGGUGAAAUGCUUAGAUAUUACACAGAACACCGAUUGCGAAGGCAGCUUACUGGGCCAUUACUGACGCUGAGGCACGAAAGCGUGGGGAGCGAACAGGAUUAGAUACCCUGGUAGUCC
rnacentral:rRNA from 1 species